rnacentral:rRNA from 1 species
AGUGAACGCUGGCGGUAGGCCUAACACAUGCAAGUCGAACGGCAGCACAGUAAGAGCUUGCUCUUACGGGUGGCGAGUGGCGGACGGGUGAGGAAUACAUCGGAAUCUACUUUUUCGUGGGGGAUAACGUAGGGAAACUUACGCUAAUACCGCAUAUGACCUACGGGUGAAAGCAGGGGAUCUUCGGACCUUGCGCGAUUGAAUGAGCCGAUGUCGGAUUAGCUAGUUGGCGGGGUAAAGGCCCACCAAGGCGACGAUCCGUAGCUGGUCUGAGAGGAUGAUCAGCCACACUGGAACUGAGACACGGUCCAGACUCCUACGGGAGGCAGCAGUGGGGAAUAUUGGACAAUGGGCGCAAGCCUGAUCCAGCCAUACCGCGUGGGUGAAGGAGGCCUUCGGGUUGUAAAGCCCUUUUGUUGGGAAAGAAAAGCAGCAGGUUAAUACCCCGCUGUUCUGACGGUACCCAAAGAAUAAGCACCGGCUAACUUCGUG